AGAGGAGAAAGGGAGGAGGAGGAGGACUGUGGAGUCCUUGGUGCUCUCUGAGCUUGGUUGUCUUCUUGCAGACACUUCAUGACCCAACUAGGUAACAUCAUCAACAACAAAUAAGGCCUUCUUACUAAUCACCAAUGUCUUAAUCCUGCACACAACUUUAUAACUAUCUAAUUUCUAUCAAUCUUCCUCUUUGUCCAGAUGUUAUGGUUAUAGUCCAGCAUUACGUCACCCUGGCACGCUGCCAGGGAAAAAGGCUCUUUGCAAAUUUUCUAGUUAGAAAAGAGUAAGGUCGACGUAAGGCUGCAUUCUGAUGACUUUGCCCCCAAACUGACCAACCUAGCCUGUCCUAUCUUGGGAAAGGCUGACUUUUUUGCCCUCUUUGGGCUAAGGAAAUAUUAGGGCCAGACUUUUGGCCCACUUUGGGGGUUAGAAAAGAGUAAGGCUAACGUAAGGCUGCAUUCAGUGGGAUUUUAAGGUUAUUAUUCUGCAUCUUUAUUAUGAGAAGCCCCGUUAUUUGUUAUUAAUAGAACAACGGGAGGCCCAAGGGCUGCAGAACAGGCACAGAUGUAGGCAAAAAGGCUCUUUGCACAUGUGCUAGUUAAGAAAAUUUGCAUUCCGAUGACUUCGAUCCACACAGCCUGUCCUAUCUUGGGAAACCCUGGCUUUUUCGCAAACCUCUUUGGGGUAACGUUUAUUUCCUCGUGGGGCUGCUAUUCCUGCCUUGACCACAGGAGGGCGAUGUUAAAUGUCCCGUGCCAUUAGCACCGAAGCCAUCAUCGGCUUUUUUAACUCGGUUUAAGGCUUUGGGAAACGGGUUUCCUGCUUCCGUGCCUGUUCUGCAGCCCCGUCGCUCUGUUACGAUUAACCGGGGGUAUGCAGUUGCCCGUGGCAGGUAGUCCCGCAGCCCCGUUCAGCCAAGCAUAGCGGCGGAGGGAACGAGCCAGCACAGGCAAGAACUUGUUGGUAAGAGAGCCGCCCAGAGCGGCAGAAUGAGGCAAAGACGCCCGGCUCACUUCCGGUUGACCCGGAAGAGAAAGGAGGAGGAGGUGCGGAGACAGCUGCAGCCGUUGGAACAUGGUCAGGCAAGGAAGGCAGCAAGCAAGGAUGCAUGCCGGCAGCCUUUGAGCCGCUCUACAACUGCUGACAUCCGUGCCCGCGGCAGCAAGCAACAGGCAAGAAAGGCAGCAUCAACAGGAGAAAUAUGCGGAUGUCAUUAUCCCUCAAGGCGUGGAUAAUACGGGAGAAUCUACACAAAGGCUAUAGACGAUGAGGGGAAGGCUUCCUGUUAACAGUUUCCUGGGUUUGAAUUGCAAAUGGGAAAACAGCGAUCGCAACUGAAAGAUUACACCACUUGGACUGAUCCCAGGAUGACAAGAAGGCCAUCUUACCUUCCUGGUCUUCACCGUUGACACGCAACAAUCUCCAUCGUCAUAGUUGCAAAAGGCUCGGUUGUUGACCGGAUCACAAUAAUUGUCUCCCCCAAAAGGCUGGAAAAGAAAA